rnacentral:rRNA from 1 species
AACGAACGCUGGCGGCAUGCCUAACACAUGCAAGUCGAACGAGACCUUCGGGUCUAGUGGCGCACGGGUGCGUAACGCGUGGGAACCUGCCCUUAGGUUCGGAAUAACUCCCCGAAAGGGGUGCUAAUAACAGAUAAUGUCUUCGGACCAAAGAUUUAUCGCCUUUGGAUGGGCCCGCGUUGGAUGAGCUAGUUGGUAGGGUAAAAGCCUAUCAAGGCGACGAUCCAUAGCUGGUCUGAGAGGAUGAUCAGCCACACUGGGACUGAGACACGGCCCAGAUUCCUACGGGAGGCAGCAGGGGGGAAUAUUGGACAAUGGGCGAGAGACUGAUCCAGCAAUGCCGCGUGAGUGAUGAAGGCCUUAGGGUUGUAAAGCUCUUUUACCCGGGAUGAUAAUGACAGUACCGGGAGAAUAAGCUCCGGCUAACUCCGUG